rnacentral:rRNA from 1 species
CACCAGCCCCUCGAGUGGUGGGGAUGAUUAUUUGGCCUAAAGCGUCCGUAGCCGGCCGGGUAAGUUUCCCGUUAAGUCCAGCGUCUCAAGCGUUGGACUGCGGGAAAUACUGCCUGGCUAGAGAGUGGGAGAGGUCAGCGGUAUUCUGGGGGUAGGGGCGAAAUCCUUUGAUCCCCGGAGGACCACCAGUGGCGAAGGCUGCUGACUAGAACACGUCUGACGGUCAGGGACGAAAGCUGGGGUAGCGAACCGGAUUAGAUACCCGGGUAGUCCCAGCCGUAAACGAUGCAUGCUAGGUGUUGGGUUGGCCACGAGCCACCCCAGUGCCGCAGGGAAGCCGUUAAGCAUGCCGCCUGGGAAGUACGAUCGCAAGAUUGAAACUUAAAGGGAUUGGCGGGGAGCACCACCAGGCGUGAAGCCUGCGGUUU